CCCGGGUCGAGGGCGGCGGCAACGGGGCGCCUCCUGGAUUACGGUGGAUAAGCAAGCACCUUGGGGCAUGAGUAGACAUGGCUGAUCAUUCAAACUCCCAGGAGCUGGAAAACAACAGCUGGGUGAUCACGGGAUCAGAGGCUCCCCCUGUAGAAGAUCUCGGUUUUGCCGCUUCAGAGGAGACUCAGUUGGAAGGCAAGUUAACCACAAUUAA